rnacentral:rRNA from 1 species
UACGUAGGUGGCAAGCGUUGUCCGGAUUUACUGGGCGUAAAGAGCGCGCAGGCGGUCGAUUUAGUCGCGUGUGAAAGCCCCCGGCUCAACUGGGGAGGGUCACGCGAUACUGAUCGACUCGAAGGCAGGAGAGGGUAGUGGAAUUCCCGGUGUAGUGGUGAAAUGCGUAGAUAUCAGGAGGAACACCGGUGGCGAAGGCGGGUCUCUGGGCCGAUACUGACGCUGAGGAGC